CAAUCAUUGUCGUCAUAGAAACGUAUAUUGUUGUAAUCAUUUUAUCAUAAUAUGACAUAUAUUGUUGACAAAGCAACACUUUCAAUGAAUAAAAAACACUAUCAAUUGAACUCCGCUCAAAAUCGUUAGCAACAGUUUAACAUUGCUUACAGAUAUACAUUAAAUUUCCGUCUGCAUCGUCCCUUCCCAAUAUCCUACCUACAAGAAUUGCUGCAACCACAUGAGAAGUAUAUCCGUCC